AACGCAUCUUGCGCUCCUUGGUAUUCCGAGGAGCAUGCCUGUUUGAGUGUCAUUUAACUUAUCAACCAUGUUUCAUGUCUGGAACGUGGCUUGGAUGUGGGGGCUCUUUCGCAGGCCUAUCUAUGGGUCGGCUCCCCUGAAACGCAUUAGUGGCAUCUGAGCUGCUACUGUAGGUGUGAUAAAUUAUCUAUGCCUUUGGUAUGCUGCAUGAACAGAUCACGCUGCUCAGAACCAAACUUGAGAAAGACUUGACAAACUUGACCUCAAAUCAGGUAGGACUACCCGCUGAACUUAA
rnacentral:misc_RNA from 1 species